UACGAAGGAUUCGAGCGUUAUCCGGAUUUAUUGGGCUUAAAGGGCGCGUAGGCGGACUGAUAAGUCAGUGGUGAAAGCCUGUUGCUUAACAACAGAACUGCCAUUGAUACUGCCAGUCUUGAGUACAGUUGAGGUAGGCGGAAUGUGUCAUGUAGUGGUGAAAUGCUUAGAUAUGACACAGAACACCGAUUGCGAAGGCAGCUUGCUAAACUGUAACUGACGCUGAGACACGAAAGCAUGGGGAGCAAACAGG
rnacentral:rRNA from 1 species